CAGACUGAUGCUCAAUCUCACAGCCAGCAUUCCUUAAAAUUGCAGUGCUGUUCUUUUUGCACGUCCAGCAUACAUUGUUUUAUUCCAUUUUGAAGGAAAUGCCUCCUCAAGUUCUUGUGAGUACCAUUUCUGAUACUGUAUACGAACAAGAAGAGCUUCUUACAUAUCUAUUUUUAAAAGAUAAGAAAUAACUUAUUGUUAUAGAUAUUUUUUGUUCAAUACUUUCUUUCCCCUGUAUUCAUACUCAGUCCUAUUCCUCUGAACUGUUUCACAAGAUGUUGAAGACUUUUCUCACUCUCUUAAUAAUAAUAACAAUAAAAA
rnacentral:lncRNA from 1 species